AGUGGUUUCUGUUUCCUGGAACGAAAGCCUGGCUGAUAUCAAGUGAAAUCUGAAACCGGUGCUGGCGGGGCUUCUAUGUUCAGCCGAGGCCACACUGUUGGGGAGGAAGCAGAAUUUCUCGGCUCCACAUAACCGGACACAGAGCAUGGGAAGGUGUCAUUUAGUCAUUAACGCCACCUACACCUGGAGGCUGAGCUGGCUUUGGAGUCUCUCUGGCUUUAUUAUCUUCAAGCAGGGCCCACUGUGGGGAGCAAACAGUUUUUGGGGGGACUGUGCAAGGAAAGGGAUGUGGGUGCUAAUUAAUGAUCCUAUGAUGAUUCGAUUCUAAAUUCCAGCCAGGAGGCCUCGUGUUGGUUUUGGCUAAUUAAGACACACCCCGUGCCCACCCUGCACUGGCGGCUCAGUUAAUCAGAGCAUCGUCCCAUACACCAAGGUUAUGGGUUCAAUCUCCAGUCAGGGCACAUACAAGAAUCAACCAAUGAAUACAGUAAAAGUAGAACAACAAACCAAUGUUUCUCUCUUUCUCUCUUUCUCCCUCUCCCUUCUCUCUCUCCAGAUGCUGAAUUGGGGCCUUCCCACCCCAACCACCUCCCUCCUACCAAUAACUGUGCAUUUGAGGUUGGGAACCAGCAGGAGGUCACUGGCGGGGGCGGAUGGAGACUUUCUUCUCUCCAGUCGGCUGUCUCUCAGCUGGAGAGCUCAGCCGGCUGCCCCAGGACCCCCUGCCCCGUGUGGUCUCUGGGCUUAGCGGUGGCCAGGGCCAUGGUGUCCAGUCUCUGGGAGGGGCCCUCCAGGCUGGAGCAAACCAAGGACUUGGGAACAGGAAGGCUGUCUCGUGGGGCUGCCCACCCCAGGACAGAGAGAAGGCUCUAGAGAGGCAGUUCCUCUCUGGGUCUGCUUCUGACCUUCUCCUCCAAGGUCAGAGGACUUCAUUCCUCUUUUCCUCAGGCCUGGGUGGGGAGGGCGGGGGCAGAGUACAGAUGUGCGAGGACUUCACAGUGCCCGGCCCCUCCCGCCCUGCGGCACGAGGGGGUCGCUGUCCCAGCUGGGGAGAGAGCUGGCCUCCCAGGCACAGCGUGGCCUGGCCCGGCCGCCCAAAUGUGGGGUUUCAAUAUUUAUUUUUAGUGGCCGCUGGUUAAAUGAAAAGCAGCCUUCAUUUGGGUGGGAACAACCCUGAAAAGUAAAAAUAAAUCAGAUCCGUGCCUGGUCAGGAAACACAGCCAGCCCCUGCUGGGCCGACCCUCGGCCCGGUGCCCCAGAUGUCCAGGGCGAGCCGUGAGGCCAGGGACUCGAGGGCCCUGCGGGGAGCCAGGCCGGCGGGUGACCACAGCCCCUCACUGGGAAAACCGCUGCCCUUCUCCACUGGCCUCCCAGGCCUGGCCGGAGCCCGGCUCACCUGCCUCCCACUGGACCUCUCAGAGGCUGUAGGCUGCUGGCCAGGCCGGCUGCACCGGUGUCUCGGGUGGGCACUCAUUGACCUCUCUGACCUCAGCUCAGGUCGGGAGGAGCUGGCUGCUCUGAGCAGGUCAUAGGACUCUGCCAGCCCCGGGUUGGCUUCAGCGCUUUGGAAAUCCAUCCACGUUUCCCGCCAGUGCCAGGGCUCGGCGCUCUCCCUGCUGAGGCCCCUCUGCUUGUCCUACCUGAGCUGAGGGGUGACCGAGUCCCUUCGAACCAGCACUGAACGGCAUGGGGUGGCCGAGGUCACCCCUUGGUUUGGAUUUGAGAGUGUUGGGUGGUGGGGUGUUCUCCCCACGGUGGAACUGACAGUUGGGUCUGGGGGCCCCCUGCCCCAAAGCCCCCAGCCAAACCCUAUCCUAUCCUGCUUCUCGGGGGCCUGGUGCAUCCCCACUUGAGAAGGGCUUCUCAUGCCUCAAGAUCAGGCUUCUCCAGCGGGUCUGGCUGGGUGAAGUGGGCCCACCUUGGGAAGGGUGACGUCGGGGACUGGUGGGGAACCUAAGCGUUACUGAGCUUCUACUUUUCAGGUGUAGAAAGUGACACCUAGUCCUUCUCCCAGGUCCCAGCUCACGAAGGAAUAUGGGCUCCAACCCAGAGGUGCGUGCGUUUCAGACAUCCUUUGUGGCCACCUCCUCAUGGCCUGGGGACCCCUCAGGGAUGGCCGUACCACAGCGUUUCUCAGACACCGAUCACGUAGGGCCCCUCCCCUCCUUAGAGGGGACACUCUCUUGGCUCCCUGGGGUUGACGCAGGUUAUUUUUAUUAGUGUUACUUAAACGCAUAAACACCCGGCAGCAGGUGCAACUCCCUGAUGCUGUAACUGUUAGAGGGACGCCAAGACCACUCGCACGCAAAAUUCUAGCAAAAUAAGCGGACAAGAGAGAGAGGGUUCCGUGAACAGCAUGAACCUAAUGAGGUGGGGGGACCGUUUUGCUGAAGGGAGUCCCUGCUGCUCUCUGUUAGGAGAGCCAGCGUGUCAGCUUGAGGUCCCUUGGGCCCAGCCCGCGGGGCCUGCAGGGUCCGCCAUUGUCUUCGCUUGAACCACGAGGUCUGGGGGUUCACCUCACACGGAGGCGUCAUGAGCCAUCCACUUGGUGAGGAGACAAGCGUAUCCACCCCUUGUACCCCAGUCCUUAGAAUGGAACGCUACGGGUUGAAGUUGGGUCUCGGUCACUGAGCAGAGCCCCCAAACGCGGGGGGAGGACUGAGUGGGCACCCAGCACACAAGGGGGUGUCCUGUGUCCGGGGCAGGUAAGGAGCUGGGAAAUCUUUUGGGGGAGGAAUCUCAUAGCCUCCAACUUCCAGCCACGUGUGUGGGUGAAGUCAGAAUGCCAUUCCUGUCCUUUGUCCCAGGGAAGGGAGGUCUGCCUGCUGCCUGGCUCUGGCUGCUGGUGUCCUUCAGGUCCUGCUGGUCCUCACAUCCCCGUGAACCCCCAGGAGCGAAGGUCGGGGCAGCUGGGCAGCCAGGCCUCAAGAAAUGUCUACCUGACCCAGAAGGGCUCCCCGCCUGGACCUGAGAAUGAUUGACAGGCGCCUGGGGCUCCGGGGUCUGCCUGGCAUGGAGACCGCAGCCACGCGACCGCACAGGGACACGAGUGGGAGGGAAAUGAAGGUCACGGGCAGAAGACAGCCUCAACAGUGACACAGCAACACGUCCACUCUGCGUGUUCUCGGUUCUACUGGGAGAGCAGGAAGCCAAGCAGCUCUUCCAAUUUGGGAGGGCAAUCUUGGUUCGGCCAACGGCACACCUUGGUCAGACGUCUUGCUGGUUGGUGGCCUCAGCCGGCCGGGCACUCCCCUUCUCUCGGCCCCAGUCCUUCACUGCGGGCACCCAGUGGAAGGUACCGUGCAAGGCCAAAGUCAUUUUGUGGCCUCAGGUCUCUUUUAGAAACAGAUGAUAUGUAAAUGAUUAAUA